CCACUACUCCGUCCGUUCGAAAUUACUUAUCGCAGAAAUGAAUAUGUCUAGCCGUAUUUUAGUUCUAGAUACAUUCAUUUUCACGACAAAUAAUUCCGAACGGAGGGAGUACAAA
rnacentral:pre_miRNA from 1 species